GACAGAGGUCUCAAGCGUUGUUCGGAUUCAUUGGGCGUAAAGGGUGCGUAGGCGGCGCGGUAAGUCGGGUGUGAAAUCUUGGAGCUUAACUCCGAAACUGCAUUCGAUACUGCCGUGCUUGAGGACUGGAGAGGAGACUGGAAUUUACGGUGUAGCGGUGAAAUGCGCAGAUAUCAGGAAGAACACCAAUGGCGAAGGCAGCUCUCUGGGACGGUACUGACGCUGAGACGCGAAAGCGUGGGGAGCGAACAGG
rnacentral:rRNA from 1 species